GACCACUUUCUGUCUCUUGUCUCAGAAUAUUUCGCAAAGUCACAGGCAACAAAACCAACGAACCAACAAAACCAAAACCGAGCAGACGGUUCGCAGGGACCCCGACCCAGACCAGGCAGGGAAGAGGGGCGCGGUGUGGAGGAUCCUGCUCCGGAGAUCCACGCACUCCCCCCCAGCGGCCCAGGCGGCUGCGGUCAACCCUGUGAAGUCCAGGCACCCCAGCUUCCCCACUGGACCGCCAUUGCUGGAGCCCACCCAGGGAGCUCUGGAACCCAGAGGAGACAGCUCCAGGUGGGGCCCUGGCACCCAUUCUGCAGGGCCAGGAGGUUGCAGACCCCUGCCCCUCUAGUCCACUGAGCCUGCCCACAGUCCGCUGAAUGGUCAAGAAGAUUCAAGCCCUCUGCAUUUGUUGAGGCUGGACUUUGGAAGCCCCCUCAGUUCCUCCAGCAAGAUACUCGCUUGGAAACCCAGACUGCCCAGCAGCUUUGCAACCAUGGCUGCCUGUUGACCCACAGCAACAAGACGGCUUGCUUAACCUAUACAGAUGUCCUACCCAGGACUGAGGUGGCCAGUGUGAGCUCUGGGUGGUGCCAGUCCUGCCUCCACUUUAAGUAGCUAUUACAGCUGUGGGUCAUCAGACAGCAGGAAACAGAUCUGCCACCGUGGAGCAGCUGUCAGGGCUGCUAUGUCCAGAUUUGGAGGCUGAGGGUGGGGAAGAAGAGGAGGCAGAAGAGGUGGAGGUGGACCAGGAGGUGGAGGCCACCACAGAGGUGGAGAACAGUGUGCUGGAGGAAAGAGAGAUCAUCCCACUAGUGCCAGAUAAGAAGGCAACGGAGGAAUAUUUUAGCCCAGCUCUCAAAAGAAGGGCUUCUAGGUCAAUGACUCUUUUGCCAAAGACACUUGUUUUAGUUUCAGUUGAGUAGUUUCCAUUUUGUCUUUAUAACACAAUUUUAAGGACCAUUUCAUUUAUCUCUGCUCUAGUUCCCUACUACUGCCACUGAAGGCUGAAGGCUGAGGGGCAGGCUGAGGGGCAUAAGAAGAAUUCUUAUGGGUGUAAUCUUGAUCAAAAUAGUCUAUUUCUAAGAAAGGUUCAUGUUUGAGAAGACAUUGCCUAUCGUCUCUAUCACCAAAAUAAUAUUGCAUGUCUCUUAAGGCAAGGAUCAGGAAUGGCUACAGAGAAAUAGGAUAUUGUUCACAAUUGUGCAGGUAAACUACGUAUGUAUGUUGAGAACCAAUGUAAAUGAUGACUAGAAAAAGGAUGCCAUGCAUUGUUUCCAUUGCUCGAGGUUUUUUUCUCUGUUUUUAACUUUAUAUUUAGAAAAUUUUUAGAUUUACAUUUAGGAAUUUUUUCCUGUUCUUCAACAUUUUAAUAAACACUUA
rnacentral:lncRNA from 1 species